rnacentral:rRNA from 1 species
AUUUUGGACAAUGGGGGCAACCCUGAUCCAGCAAUGCCGCGUGUGUGAAGAAGGCCUUCGGGUUGUAAAGCACUUUUGUCCGGAAAGAAAUCGCACUUACUAAUAUUAGGUGUGGAUGACGGUACCGGAAGAAUAAGGACCGGCUAACUACGUGCCAGCAGCCGCGGUAAUACGUAGGGUCCAAGCGUUAAUCGGAAUUACUGGGCGUAAAGCGUGCGCAGGCGGUUGUGCAAGACCGAUGUGAAAUCCCCGGGCUUAACCUGGGAAUUGCAUUGGUGACUGCACGGCUAGAGUGUGUCAGAGGGGGGUAGAAUUCCACGUGUAGCAGUGAAAUGCGUAGAGAUGUGGAGGAAUACCGAUGGCGAAGGCAGCCCCCUGGGAUAACACUGACGCUCAUGCACGAAAGCGUGGGGAGCAAAC